rnacentral:lncRNA from 1 species
GUGCGUGUUAGUUUCGAUAGCGUUUAAAUGCCAGAAGUGGUGUAUAACUUCGUUUGAAGUAGACUAAUAGAUUUGGUUUAAAUUUUAUAGAUUUAUUCACUUCAGAUGCGUUACCGAACGGAUGAUUUUAUUACUUUACAUUAACAAAAUUCGCUGUCAUAAUUAAGAAUAUUGGCCACUUAUAGGCUCGUGAAAGAUGACACAGAAGGGUACCGGAGGAUCAGCGACGCUGUACAGCGCAGUGCUCGCAAAAGGAGCACCACCAUCAUCCGAUACACAACCAAGCACCGAACUGAUGAAGCUGAAGAAAGCACUUUGGGAUCUGAUGGUCCAGUACCCUAAAGGUGUCACUUUGAGCAAAGCACGGAGGUCCUGCCCACUCCUCCUCGACUCUGGGGUGCUGGAUGGCUACGCUUCUGUCCGCCAGCUCUUGGCAUCCAUGCCUGAUGUGGUGACACUAAAGGGACUCGGUGUCCAGACAUUCCUUCUCCCCGCAGCUACUAAGUCUGGAGGAUAGCCAUUGUUUACAGUUUUGUUAUCCCACAAUGCUUUGCCGUCAAAAAAAAAACAGGACACUUGACUACAUGACCACAGCAGUUACUACAAAUAUAAACAUUGUUCUCCUCAAAACUGUGACCACAGACAAUAGCAUUAACUAGAAUAACCAGGAUUUUUUAUACCACAGCAUUUUUCAAUGUGACCAGAUUUCAAUCAAGAAAAGGCAGCAGUUAAAAUUAGUGUAUUCUUAAAAUACACGAUAGAAACCUUUAUUGUGUUUACAUCUUUGAAGACCACAAAAGCACUUAAUUCUUAUAUGUGGUCACGCACAAAUCAGGAAAUAAUGGUAAAAUUGAGGAAGUUGUAUCAACUGUGAUUAGGCAACUCGGGAUUUUUUUUUCUCAGUCUUAGAGUAUGAUAUAUACAUGAUUAUAACUUGGUAUAAUAACAUUGGCAUAUUUUAACUACAUUCUACUUAAAAGGUUUCAGAAGAAAUGUUUACAGGAACUUGUAACCUUUACAUUUGUAAUAAGACUUUUUAAAACUACUGUCCUUUUAAAUAACGUAUCCUCCCAAAAAAUUUACUGAAGCUUUGAUUUUAAAGCAUUUGUGUGUUUUGUCCACUUAAAUGAACUGAUUGUUGCAGGCAUAUACAUAAAGUGCAUACAAUGAUGUACAUGAUCCAUUAAUCAGCCAGUUCUACAAUUUCAAAUAUACACAUGAACAGGGUGUGUUGCGGAUCCACGUAUAAUAUGAACCAUACCGG